CCACUCCCCUGGCAGGGAGAUACAAUGUUUACCAAAGUGAUUUUCUCAGGCUGAGGCUUUUCCAUUGCACUUUGGAUGUGCUGGCCCUUUCAGUUUCCCCAAAUGUGGGAAACUCGGCUGUAUAGUUUGUGGUAGUGGGGCAGCUCCGGAGGAUCUGAAGGCCUUU